rnacentral:tRNA from 1 species
GCAGAAAUAGCUCAGUUGGGAGAGCGUUACACUGAAGAUCUAAAGGUCCUUGGUUCGAUAACUGGUUUCGGCA